GGGGUUGUAGCUCAGUGUUAGAGCACUUGCCUCAUAUGCAUGUGGCAGUGAGUUUGAACCUCAGCACCACA
rnacentral:tRNA from 1 species